rnacentral:rRNA from 1 species
UACGUAGGGUCCAAGCGUUAAUCGGAAUUACUGGGCGUAAAGCGUGCGCAGGCGGUUGUGUAAGACAGAUGUGAAAUCCCCGAGCUUAACUUGGGAACUGCAUUUGUGACUGCACGGCUAGAGUGUGUCAGAGGGGGGUAGAAUUCCACGUGUAGCAGUGAAAUGCGUAGAUAUGUGGAGGAAUACCAAUGGCGAAGGCAGCCCCCUGGGAUAACACUGACGCUCAUGCACGAAAGCGUGGGGAGCAAACAGG